rnacentral:rRNA from 1 species
CUGACUGGCAAGUCCUCUGUGAAAUCGGGAGGCUUAACCUCUCGGCUUGCAGGGGAAACUGUUAGUCUUGGGGCCGGCAAGCGCCGAGGGUACUCCAGGGGUAGCGGUGAAAUGCUAUAAUCCCUGGGGGACCGCCGGUGGCGAAAGCGCUCGGCGGGGCCGGACCCGACGGUGAGGGACGAAGGCCAGGGGAGCGAACCGGAUUAGAUACCCGGGUAGUCCUGGCUGCAAAGGAUGUGGGCUAGGUGCCGGAAGUUCCUCGAGAGCUUUCGGUGCCGAAGGAAAGCCGUUAAGCUCACCGCCUGGGGA